GAUGAACGCUGGCGGCGUGCCUAAUACAUGCAAGUCGAGCGAACAGACGAGGAGCUUGCUCCUCUGACGUUAGCGGCGGGCGGGUGAGUAACACGUGGAUAACCUACCUAUAAGACUGGGAUAACUUCGGGAAACCGGAGCUAAUACCGGAUAAUAUAUUGAACCGCAUGGUUCAAUAGUGAAAGACGGUUUUGCUGUCACUUAUAGAUGGAUCCGCGCCGCAUUAGCUAGUUGGUAAGGUAACGGCUUACCAAGGCAACGAUGCGUAGCCGACCUGAGAGGGUGAUCGGCCACACUGGAACUGAGACACGGUCCAGACUCCUACGGGAGGCAGCAGUAGGGAAUCUUCCGCAAUGGGCGAAAGCCUGACGGAGCAACGCCGCGUGAGCGAUGAAGGUCUUCGGAUCGUAAAACUCUGUUAUUAGGGAAGAACAAAUGUGUAAGUAACUAUGCACGUCUUGACGGUACCUAAUCAGAAAGCCACGGCUAACUACGUG
rnacentral:rRNA from 1 species